rnacentral:rRNA from 1 species
CAGUAGCCGCGGGAAUACGUAGGGUGCGAGCGUUAAUCGGAAUUACUGGGCGUAAAGCGUGCGCAGGCGGUUCGUUAAGACAGAUGUGAAAUCCCCGGGCUUAACCUGGGAACUGCAUUUGUGACUGGCGAGCUAGAGUAUGGCAGAGGGGGGUAGAAUUCCACGUGUAGCAGUGAAAUGCGUAGAGAUGUGGAGGAAUACCGAUGGCGAAGGCAGCCCCCUGGGCCAAUACUGACGCUCAUGCACGAAAACGUGGGGAGCAAACAGGAUUAGAUACCCCAGUAGUCCCUGUCUCUUAUAC